rnacentral:rRNA from 1 species
UACGUAGGCAGCGAGCGUUGUUCGGAGUUACUGGGCGUAAAGGGCGUGCAGGCGGUUUGUUAAGUGCAGGGUGAAAGCUCCCGGCUCAACUGGGAGAGGUCCUUGCAUACUGGCGAACUCGAGGGAGGCAGAGGAAAGUGGAAUUCCCGGUGUAGUGGUGAUAUGCGUAGAUAUCGGGAGGAACACCUGUGGCGAAGGCGGCUUUCUGGGCCUUACCUGACGCUGAGACGCGAAAGCGUGGGGAGCGAACCGG